AGUAUCCGACGUGGCUGCAUCGGGAACCUUAAGAAGACUCUUGAGCUAGAUCCCUACAAUCUAGCCAAAAAGGGGGAUAAAAAAGUGCAAAGAUCCCUACAACGCAAUAGAUCUUACGUAUACAAGAAGCGAACUCAAAGUCUCGAAGGAAGGAAGCCAUCGAAUCGGACCGUGAACCAUUGCCAUUGGAUAAGCCUCCAUCCCCGUAGUCUCAUUCUUCGGUGUUCGGGAGGGAUAGGCACGUGAUUUACCCGGAGAUGAUGUAGUACCAUCUGUUGCCGUCGCCCUAACAGGACCAGGAGAUCAACCACCUCACCCUUGCCUACUAUGUCAUUUCCGGUCUCCACCUCCUCUCAUCCCUCGAUCGUUUUUAUGCAGGACAAUUUUAGGCGUUCCAUGGUUCAAGCACUUCUCAAUUUCCUCCAGACAAUAAUGGGGUGUAACAUACAGAUCGUGCGCUUAAAUUUCGAUCGUUCUGUUUUCUGCUGUGUUUGUUAUGUUCUGUUCUAUGACUUUAUCUAAGGUUUUGAGUCACAACGACAGUCACUUGGCAAGCACAUAUAGUGCCCUAGCCAUACUAAAGAUCGUUGGAUACAACUUCUCAAGUAUCGACUUUGAGACAGUAUUGACAUCAAUGAGAAACCUCCAACAGCCAGAUGGGAAGUAAGCUUUACAACUCCUAUUGUGGAUUCACUUCAUUCAGCCUCUUGGGAGAAUCCGUUGAGCACGAUUGCAUAGUCCGAAUCUCAAUCAGCAUAUGAAAUUUGCAGCAUAUGGAAUGCCCGUAUACUAAUGAACUGUUAGUAAUUGUUCAAAUUAAUUCUUCCCAUUGACAUUUAAAUGUCAUACAAGGGAAGUCCGAGGAGUGUCAGGUCGGAUCAGUAAAGAAUGCAAGUAGCUACAAGGUCUGGGUCAGCUUUGGUCGUAUGGCAGUAAUAAAAUCAUGCUGCUGCAUUCUCUUAAAGAGCUGAUAAAGGGUGGUGUGUAUGAUGAUUCUACAGUGUCUGUAGCUUUUGGCUUUUACUACCACGAGACGUUUU